GUCUACGGCCACACCACCCUGAACAUGCCCGAUCUUGUCUGAUCUUGGAAGUUAAGCAGGAUUGGGCCUGGUCAGUACUUGGAUGGGAGACUGCCUAGGAAUAUCGGGUGCUGUAGGCU
rnacentral:rRNA from 1 species